GGAUGUGAGGGCGAUCUGGCUGAGAUAUGUCACCCCAUUGAUCGCCAGGGUUGAUUCGGCUGAUCUGGAUGGCUAGGCCGGUGUCCCCUUCCUCCCUCACCGCUCCAUGUGCGUCCCUCCCGAAGCUGCGCACUCGGUCAAAGAGGACGACCUUCCCCAAUAGAGGGGUAUACGAGUAGCUGCGCUCCCCUGCUAGAACAAGCUCCCAAGGUCCAAAACAUAAAAGAAGUAGAGAUGGAAGAUGAGAAAACUUGGA
rnacentral:snRNA from 1 species